CAUACGAGACGGUGAAAAGGAAACACGGUGCAAAUCCGCGACAAUACCCGAUUACUGUGAGGGCGACGAAAGCGCCAAUACGUCAUUGAUCCCAAAGAUCGAGAAGACGGCGCGAGUAGGAUGAACCUAAGCCAGGAGACCUGCCUUGAGUUG
rnacentral:ncRNA from 1 species